rnacentral:rRNA from 1 species
UACGGAGGGUGCGAGCGUUGUCCGGAAUCACUGGGCGUAAAGGGCGCGUAGGCGGCCUGAUAAGUAGGGGGUGAAAUCCUGCGGCUUAACUGCAGGGCUGCCUUCUAAACUGUCAGGCUGGAGCACAGUAGAGGCAGGUGGAAUUCCCGGUGUAGCGGUGGAAUGCGUAGAUAUCGGGAGGAACACCAGUGGCGAAGGCGGCACCCUGGACCAGCACUGACACUGAGGCACGAAAGCGUGGGGAGCAAACAGGG